rfam:Solanum tuberosum cultivar DM 1-3 516 R44 scf00032_48, whole genome shotgun sequence.
GGGAUAUGAUGAGUGGUCAAUACUCGCAAUAAUUUUGCGAGAAGGACGUCCAGGCUCAGCCUGGUUACGACAAUUUGGGCGUCCUCAAUUUUACCAAUCUGAUCCC